UACGGAGGAUCCAAGCGUUAUCCGGAUUUAUUGGGUUUAAAGGGUGCGUAGGUGGCCUGUUAAGUCAGGGGUGAAAGACGGUAGCUUAACUAUCGCAGUGCCUUUGAUACUGACGGGCUUGAAUACACUAGAGGUAGGCGGAAUGUGACAAGUAGCGGUGAAAUGCAUAGAUAUGUCACAGAACACCAAUUGCGAAGGCAGCUUACUAUGGUGUCAUUGACACUGAGGCACGAAAGCGUGGGGAGCAAACGGG
rnacentral:rRNA from 1 species